UACGUAGGUGGCAAGCGUUAUCCGGAAUUAUUGGGCGUAAAGCGCGCGCAGGCGGUUUCUUAAGUCUGAUGUGAAAGCCCACGGCUCAACCGUGGAGGGUCAUCGGAAACUGGGGAACUUGAGUGCAGAAGAGAAAAGCGGAAUUCCACGUGUAGCGGUGAAAUGCGUAGAUAUCUGGAGGAACACCGGUGGCGAAGGCGGCAUCCUGGACCGGCAUUGACGCUGAGGAGCGAAAGCCAGGGGAGCAAACGGG
rnacentral:rRNA from 1 species